rnacentral:rRNA from 1 species
AUUGAACGCUGGCGGCAUGCCUUACACAUGCAAGUCGAACGGCAGCACGGGAGCAAUCCAAGUGGCGAGUGGCGAACGGGUGAGUAAUAUAUCGGCACGUGCCCAGUCGUGGGGGAUAACGUAGCGAAAGCUAAGCUAAUACCGCAUACGAUCUAUGGAUGAAAGCGGGGGAUCGCAAGACAUCGCGCGAUUGGAGCGGCCGAUAUCAGAUUAGGUAGUUGGUGAGGUAAAGGCUCACCAAGCCGACGAUCUGUAGCUGGUCUGAGAGGACGACCAGCCACACUGGGACUGAGACACGGCCCAGACUCCUACGGGAGGCAGCAGUGGGGAAUUUUGGACAAUGGGCGCAAGCCUGAUCCAGCAAUGCCGCGUGCAGGAUGAAGGCCUUCGGGUUGUAAACUGCUUUUGUACGGAGCGAAAAGGCUCCCUCUAAUACAGGGGGCUCAUGACGGUACCGUAAGAAUAAGCACCGGCUAACUACGUGCCAGCCGCCGCUGUAA